rnacentral:rRNA from 1 species
CCUACGGGAGUCAGCAGUGGGGAAUAUUGCACAAUGGGGGAAACCCUGAUGCAGCAACGCCGCGUGAGUGAAGACAGCUUUCGGAUUGUAAACUUCUUUUCAUAGGGAAGAAUAGUAGCGGUAGCUAAUGGACAAGCCCACGCUAACUACGUGCCAGCAGCCACCGUAAUACGUAGGUGGCAAGCGUUGUCCGGAAUUACUGGGUGUAAAGGGAGCGCAGGCGGGAAGACAAGUCCGCUGUGAAAACUACGGGCUUAACCUGUAGACUGCAGUUGAAACUGGUUUUCUUGAGUGAAGUAGAGGUUGGCGGAAUUCCGAGUGUAGCGGUGAAAUGCGUAGAUAUUCGGAGGAACACCGGUGGCGAAGGCGGCCAACUGGGCUUUAACUGACGCUGAGGCUCGAAAGUGUGGGGAGCAAACAGGAUUAGAUACCCUGGUAGUC